rnacentral:tRNA from 1 species
GGGGGCGUAGCUCAGACGGUAGAGCGCUCACUUAGCAUGCGAGAGGUACCGGGAUGGAUACCCGGCGCCUCCA